rnacentral:rRNA from 1 species
GAUGAACGCUGGCGGCGUGCCUAAUACAUGCAAGUCGAGCGAACGGACGAGAAGCUUGCUUCUCUGAUGUUAGCGGCGGACGGGUGAGUAACACGUGGAUGACCUACCUAUAAGACUGGGAUAACUUCGGGAAACCGUAGCUAAUACCGGAUAAUAUUUUGAACCGCAUGGUUCAAAAGUGAAAGACGGUCUUGCUGUCACUUAUAGAUGGAUCCGCGCUGCAUUAGCUAGUUGGUAAGGUAACGGCUUACCAAGGCAACGAUGCAUAGCCGACCUGAGAGGGUGAUCGGCCACACUGGAACUGAGACACGGUCCAGACUCCUACGGGAGGCAGCAGUAGGGAAUCUUCCGCAAUGGGCGAAGGCCUGACGGAGCAACGCCGCGUGAGUGAUGAAGGUCUUCGGAUCGUAAAACUCUGUUAUUAGGGAAGAACAUAUGUGUAAGUAACUGUGCACAUCUUGACGGUACCUAAUCAGAAAGCCACGGCUAACUACGUG